UGGAGGCGCCGGUAUCGAUCCGGUCCUCUCGCAUGCUAGACAGCGCUCUACCAUCUGAGCUACGCCCCU